GCAUCCGUUGCAUAGCUGGAUAGUGCAUUGGCUUCCGACGCCAAAGGUCGCAGGUUCGAAUCCUGUCGGAUGCA
rnacentral:tRNA from 2 species